rnacentral:rRNA from 1 species
UACGUAGGGUGCAAGCGUUGUCCGGAAUUAUUGGGCGUAAAGAGCUUGUAGGCGGUUUGUCGCGUCUGCUGUGAAAUUUCGGGGCUCAACCCCGAACUUGCAGUGGGUACGGGCAGACUAGAGUGUGGUAGGGGAGACUGGAAUUCCUGGUGUAGCGGUGAAAUGCGCAGAUAUCAGGAGGAACACCGGUGGCGAAGGCAGGUCUCUGGGCCGCUACUGACGCUGAGAAGCGAAAGCAUGGGGAGCGAACAGG